GGCUUGGGCGUUCCUUCCUGGCCAAAGACAGACUUUAUUGCUGAAGUGGCAGAAGCUAUCUUCUGUCUCAACUUCAAUAGCUUUCCAAUUGAUUUAUCCAAGAAGUCUGGCAAGGAUAAGAGUCGUAGAGUAUGUCCCGUCGGGGCUGUGUCAAACACAAUACGAGUAAACAUAUUAUAUUCCUGCGAUUCAAGGAAUUGCAUAACCUUUGAAAUUGCAAUGGCUUCAUCUAGACCAGGAGGGGGUGUAUCCAGCAGUUCUCCAAGCUUUAGUUCCCCAAGCUGUUCAGCAAGCACUCCAAGGCCCAUGCCGUCCAUAAAGUCUUUGAUACCAGAUCCUCCACUUAUCUGGGUCGCACUUCGAAAUUCUUCCUUGGCCUUUUCAGGAUUCAACUCAAGCGCAAAUAAUGGAGAAUACGGGCCUUCAACUGGAACUAGUGUGCCGCCAGUCAAAUCCUGGGCAAAAGAAUCACUUAAGGAAUGUGCAGGAUCUGUUGAAACUACUAAAGUGGGAUGACCAUUAUUUGCAAAUUUUACAGCAAGUGAAGCAGCACAACUUGUCUUCCCAACUCCUCCUUUACCACCUAGCAUGUAAUACUUACGCUCGGUCCCAGAAACCAUUUCAUCAAAUCCAGCAGGAGAAGCUACUGCUCUCACUUGCAAACACUUAAUGGGCUGUUUCUUGAAGGAAAUGAAAGUAGCCGAGCUGAAGGUUGGUCUGAAGUUGAAGAGAGAAAGUGGGUGUGAGGGUCUGAGAGAAUUAGAAGAAUGGCCAUAUCCCACAACUUCCAUUGCCAAAGAUGAAAACACUUUCUUGGGUCUCCACUAUCUUCUCUUAGCUUCUCCA
rnacentral:misc_RNA from 1 species